AUUGAACGCUGGCGGCAUGCCUUACACAUGCAAGUCGAACGGCAGCGGGGGAGAAGCUUGCUUUUCCUGCCGGCGAGGGGCGAACGGGUGAGAAAUACAUCGGAACGCGCCCUGUCGGGGGGGAUAACUAGACGAAAGAGCAGCUAAUACCUCAUACGACCAGAGGGUUAAAGUGGUGGACCGUAAGGCCUCCGCCUAUUGUAACGGCCGAUGUCUGAUUAGCUAGUUGGCAGGGUAAGGGCCCACCAAGGCGACGAUGAGUAGCUGGUCUGAGAGGACGAUCAGCCACACUGGGACUGAGACACGGCCCAGACUCCUACGGGAGGCAGCAGUGGGGAAUUUUGGACAAUGGGCGCAAGCCUGAUCCAGCCAUGCCGCGUGAGGGAAGAAGGCCUUCGGGUUGUAAACCGCUUUUGGCAGGAACGAAAAGGCGCAAGCCAAUACAUUGCGCUAAUGACGGUACCUGCAGAAUAAGCAACGGCUAACUACGUGCCAGCAGCCGCAGUAA
rnacentral:rRNA from 1 species